AGAGAGUGCGAGCGUUAAUCGGAAUUACUGGGCGUAAAGCGCGUGUAGGUGGAUGCUUAAGUUGACUGUGAAAGCCCCGGGCUUAACCUGGGAAUUGCAAUCAAGACUGGGCAACUAGAGUAUGGUAGAGGGAAGUGGAAUUUCCGGUGUAGCGGUGAAAUGCGUAGAUAUCGGAAGGAACACCAGUGGCGAAGGCGGCUUCCUGGACCAAUACUGACACUGAGACGCGAAAGCGUGGGGAGCAAACAGGAUUAGAGACCCUGGUAGUCCACGCCGUCAACGAUGAGAACUAGAUGUUGGGAGGGUUACCUCUUAGUAUCGAAGCUAACGCGUUAAGUUCUCCGCCUGGGGAGUACGGCCGCAAGGCUA
rnacentral:rRNA from 1 species